GAAUGGAUUUUUUUGAAAGUCAAUAUUUUCUUGACAACUCAAAUAAGAAAUGAAGAUUGCAUAAGAAAGUUAGUCCAAAAAAAUAUAAAUUUUAUGAGAAGUGUUUGAAUGGAUCUAGAAAUCAAAAUGGGUCACUCAAAAUUUAAGAAAGUUUACAUUUGCCAAAUCGACACCAAUAAUAUAGAGUGAAAUCGGCGUUAAUAAAAUGGCAUUGGUAUUGAAUUUUACGGAUUAGUAAAAGACUAGUGAAAUGAAAAUAGUGGAUAGAGGUGGGAUGAAGAUGGAGGAGGAGAUGUUUCAAUAGAGAAAGAUGUGUAUUGAGGAAGAC
rnacentral:lncRNA from 1 species